GAUGAACGCUAGCGAUAGGCUUAACACAUGCAAGUCGAGGGGCAGCAUGGUCUUAGCUUGCUAAGACUGAUGGCGACCGGCGCACGGGUGCGUAACGCGUAUGCAACUUGCCUCACAGAGGGGGAUAACCCGUCGAAAGACGGACUAAUACCGCGUACACUCUAUUUUGGGCAUCCAAGGUAGAGGAAAUGAACUUCGCUGUGAGAUAGGCAUGCGUCCCAUUAGCUAGUUGGUGAGGUAACGGCUCACCAAGGCGACGAUGGGUAGGGGAACUGAGAGGUUGAACCCCCACACCGGUACUGAGACACGGACCAGACUCCUACGGGAGGAAGCAGUGAGGAAUAUUGGUCAAUGGGCGAGAGCCUGAACCAGCCAAGUCGCGUGAAGGAUGACUGUCUUAUGGAUUGUAAACUUCUUUUGUAGGGGAAUAAAGAGGGGCACGUGUGCCCCAGUGAAUGUACCCGACGAAUAAGCAUCGGCUAACUCCGUG
rnacentral:rRNA from 1 species